UACAGAGGGGGCAAGCGUUAUUCGGAAUUAUUGGGCGUAAAGGGCGCGUAGGCGGCUUGGCAAGUGGAUGGUGAAAUCCCUCGGCUUAACCGAGGAACUGCCGUCCAAACUGCUUCGCUUGAGACCGGGAGAGGUGAGUGGAAUUCCCAGUGUAGCGGUGAAAUGCGUAGAUAUUGGGAGGAACACCAGUGGCGAAGGCGGCUCGCUGGGACGGUACUGACGCUGAGGCGCGAAAGCGUGGGGAGCGAACAGG
rnacentral:rRNA from 1 species